rfam:Pteropus alecto contig58680, whole genome shotgun sequence.
CAAAUGGUUUCUUUAGAAACCACAAUGUCAUCAUUGGUUUCUCUGU